UAAGCUGCUGAUGUUACCAG
rnacentral:siRNA from 1 species